rnacentral:rRNA from 1 species
UUCCGGUUGAUCCUGCCGGAGGCUACUGCUAUCGGGGUUCGAUUAAGCCAUGCGAGUUAAAUGUUCUUCGUGAACAUAGCGAACUGCUCAGUAACACGUGGAUAACCUACCCUUAGGACCGGAAUAACCCCGGGAAACUGGGGAUAAUACCGGAUAAGCCAUAGACGCUGGAAUGCCCUAUGGUUCAAAGCUCCGGCGCCUAAGGAUGGAUCUGCGGUCUAUCAGGUUGUAGUGGGUGUAACGUACCUACUAGCCGACGACGGAUACGGGUUGUGAGAGCAAGAGCCCGGAGAUGGAUUCUGAGACACGAAUCCAGGCCCUACGGGGUGCAGCAGGCGCGAACACUUUACAAUGCGGGAAACCGCGAUAAGGGAACCCCGAGUGCCAGCAUCAAAUGUUGGCUGUCCAGAUGGUUAAAAAUCAUUUGUUAGCAAGGGCCGGGCAAGACCGGUGCCAGCCGCCGCGGUAACACCGGCGGCCCGAGUGGUAGCCGUUUUUAUUGGGUCUAAAGGGUCCGUAGCCGGCCUGAUAAGUCCUUUGGGAAAUCUGACAGCUUAACUGUCAGGCUUCUAAGGGAUACUGUCAGGCUUGGGACCGGAAGAGGUAAGGGGUACUCCAGGGGUAGGAGUGAAAUCUUGUAAUCCCUGGGGGACCAUCUGUGGCGAAGGCGCCUUACCAGAACGGGUCCGACGGUGAGGGACGAAAGCUAGGGGAGCAAACCGGAUUAGAUACCCGGGUAGUCCUAGCUGUAAACGAUGCUCGCUAGGUGUCAGACACGGUGCGACCGUGUUUGGUGCCGCAGGGAAGCCGUUAAGCGAGCCACCUGGGAAGUACGGUCGCAAGGCUGAAACUUAAAGGAAUUGGCGGGGGAGCACUA